UGUGUAGGGGUUAACGUUGA
rnacentral:misc_RNA from 1 species